AAACCUGUUGCGUGAUAAUUGAGGUUUGCCAAGCGGCAAGCCGACGAGUUAUAGCAAAGCAGCAGAUUUAUUAUUACGCAACAGGUUUAUGGUAAUAGAAAUUAGAAAACGGAAAAUAGAAAACUAUCUGAUUUCCAAUUUCUAUUUUCUAUUACCAAUUUCCAGUUUCUAUCAACUAAUUUCCGUCGCAAUGAAUGUAGUGAGGUGCGGCGUAUGACGGUACCUUAGGAAUAAGAGGGUGCAAAUUCUGUGCCAGCAGCCGCGGUAAUACAGAACCCUCGAGCGUUAUCCGGAUUUAUUGGGCGUAAAGCGUCUGUAGGCGUUUUGUUAAGUUUUUUGUUAAAUAUCCAGAGCUCAACUUUGGAAAUGCAAAAAAAACUGGCGGAAUUGAGGAUGUUAGGGGCUGAUGGAACGGUCGGUGUAGGGGUGAAAUCCGUUGAUAUCGACUGGAACACCAAAAGCGAAAGCAUUCAGCUGGGGCAAUCCUGACGCUGAGAGACGAAAGCGUGGGCAUAAAAAAGGAUUAGAUACCCUUGUAUACCACGCCCUAAACGAUGGACACUGGCUAUUUGAAGUGUCGACCCUUCAAGUGGCGAAGCUAACGCGUUAAGUGUCCCGCCUGGGAAGUACGGCCGCAAGGCUAAAACUCAAAGGAAUAGACGGGGCUUCACACAAGCGGUGGAUCAUGUGGCUUAAUUCGAUAACAAACGAAGAACCUUACCAGGGCUUGAAAUUCGCCUGACAUUCCGCAGAAACGCGGAAUUUCUCACAAGGACAGGCGAACAGGUGCUGCAUGGUUGUCGUCAGCAUGUACCUUGAGGCGCACCCUUAAAUGGGGUAACAUGCGCAACCCUCAUCCUGCGUUAUAUGUGUCGCGGGAAACUGCCCGAGAUAAUUGGGAGGAAGGUGAGGAUGACGCCAAAUCAGCAUGGCCCUUUGACGCCCUGGGCCGCACACAUGAUACAAUGGGACCGACAAUGGGCAAAGCCGCAAGGCAGAGGUAAUCCUUCAAACGGUCUCUUAGUUCGGAUUGAGGUCUGCAAUCGACCUCAUGAAGCCGGAAUCGCUAGUAAUCGCCGAUCAGCUAUGCGGCGAUGAAUAUGUUCCUGAAGCUUGUACUCACCGCCCGUCACGCCAAGCAAGCUGGGAACAGCCGAAAGUCCUGCAUUAGCAGGGUCUAAGCUGGGCUCAGUGAGAGGGGCGAAGUCGUCGGCGCAAUCUG
rnacentral:rRNA from 3 species